GAUGAACGCUGGCGGCGUGCCUAAUACAUGCAAGUCGAGCGAACAGAUAAGGAGCUUGCUCCUUUGACGUUAGCGGCGGACGGGUGAGUAACACGUGGAUAACCUACCUAUAAGACUGGGAUAACUUCGGGAAACCGGAGCUAAUACCGGAUAACAUAUUGAACCGCAUGGUUCAAUAGUGAAAGGCGGCUUUGCUGUCACUUAUCGAUGGAUCCGCGCGGUAUUAGCUAGUUGGUAAGGUAACGGCUUACCAAGGCAACGAUACGUAGCCGACCUGAGAGGGUGAUAGGCCACACGGGAACUGAGACACGGUCCAGACUCCUACGGGAGGCAGCAGUAGGGAAUCUUCCGCAAUGGGCGAAAGCCUGACGGAGCAACGCCGAGUGAGUGAUGAAGGUCUUCGGAUCGUAAAACUCUGUUAUCAGGGAAGAACAAAUGUGUAAGUAACUGUGCACAUCGUGACGGUACCUGAUCAGAAAGCCACGGCUAACUACGUG
rnacentral:rRNA from 1 species